rnacentral:rRNA from 1 species
GAUGAACGCUGGCGGCGUGCCUAAUACAUGCAAGUCGAGCGAACGGACGCGAAGCUUGCUUCUCUGAUGUUAGCGGCGGACGGGUGAGUAACACGUGGAUAACCUACCUAUAAGACUGGGAUAACUUCGGGAAACCGGAGCUAAUACCGGAUAAUAUUUUGAACCGCAUGGUUCAAAAGUGAAAGACGGUCUUGCUGUCACUUCUAGAUGGAUCCGCGCUGCAUUAGCUAGUUGGUAAGGUAACGGCUUACCAAGGCAACGAUGCAUAGCCGACCUGAGAGGGUGAUCGGCCACACUGGAACUGAGACACGGUCCAGACUCCUACGGGAGGCAGCAGUAGGGAAUCUUCCGCAAUGGGCGAAAGCCUGACGGAGCAACGCCGCGUGAGUGAUGAAGGUCUUCGGAUCGUAAAACUCUGUUAUUAGGGAAGAACAUAUGUGUAAGUAACUGUGCACAUCUUGACGGUACCUAAUCAGAAAGCCACGGCUAACUACGUG